CAACAGAGUGAGACUCUUUCUAAAAAAAAACAAGAAAAAAAAAGAGCGAGUAUUGCAACUACCAACUCCUUGGUCCUCAGCCAGGGCCUGACAUAGGGCAGUUGCUUACUGCCAAUGAAUAAAUGAAUGAACAAAUGAAUGACUCCCUUUUCCUCUUUGGUCCCCAGGAAGCUCAGAGCUAGAUUCACGGCUCCAGCUUCUGUUAGAUUCCCCGUGCCCACCAUGGGGCUGGAAUCCUGUAGGUGCUCAAUUAUUGUGUGUUGACUGAGUGAGCAGGAGGGAGGGGCUCAGGCCCAGCUCACCCACCCUCGCCCCAGACCUCUCAC
rnacentral:lncRNA from 1 species